rnacentral:rRNA from 1 species
AGAAUCUAUAAAACGAGCAUUUAAUGAAAACCUUGGUAAAAAUUUUAAGGACGUUACGUCACGAAAAUUGCAAGUAGACAUUGGUCUGUGAUUUGUAAAUUUCCUAUGAGUAGACUCAGUAUUUGUAAAAAUAAUGUGAAUUGAAUCAUCUUAGUAACAUUAAUAGAAAUCAAACGAGAGGUUGUUAUUAGCGGUGAGCGAAAACGAUUUAAUAAGCUAAAUUCAAUUUUAAAUUUUAUGAAUUUUAUAAUGCCUUAGAAGGUAAAGCCCUGUAAUAAAUUUGAAAUGUAUGAGUAUUAAUUAAUAUGAAUAGUGAAUUUGUAUGAAAAUAGGAGGACCACCUUCUAAGCUUAAUAGAAUUUUUGACCGAUAGUAAACGAGUACCGUAAGGGAAAGGUGAAAAGUUUCGAAAAAGAAACUUGUAUGAAAUUAAAUGUUUAUAAGUUUUCGAAGUUUUAAAACAACGAAGUGCCUUUUGCAUAAUGAGUCAGUAAGUUAAAAUGUAUUGCAAGUUUAAGUAAUAAUACGAAGUCGUUUUAUAAGUAAUACUUUUUAGACCUGAAACCGAGUGAUCUAGCUGUAAGCAGGUUGAGAAUUCUUUAACAUGUAUUUGAGGACCGAACCCACAUAUGUAGCAAAAUAUGGGGAUGACUUGUAGCUUGGAGCGAAAGACUAAUCAAACUCGGUGAUAGCCGGUUUUUCACGAAAUGUAUUUAAGUACUGCAUUAAUAUAAAUUUAAUUAUAGGUAGAGUAACAAAAUAGAUAAGGGGGUUUAAUCGCUUACUAAAUCUUUUUUACCUCCGAAUUAUAAUUAAAAGUAUUAAUAGUCAGUCCUUAGGCGAUAAGGUUUAAGGACAAAAGGAAAACAAUCCAGAUCGAAUACUAAGGUUUUAAAAUUAUAAUUUAGGGAAAAAAAUUUUGAGAAAAAUCAAAUAUAAUUUGGAUAGGCUUAGAAGCAGCCGUUCAUUAGAGAAAGCGUUUUAGCUCAUUAUUUUUUACUUUUUAAAAUUUAAAAUUUAAUGAAACUUUAAAUUAUAUACUGAGGUAGCGGACUAAUAAAAUUAGUGGUAGUGAAACGUUCUGUAAUUUUAUUAUAAUUGUAAAAUUAUAAUUUAUAUAUCAGAAGUGCUAAUGCUGACAUGAGUAGCGAAAACUGUGUUUAAAAUCAUAGUCACUUAUAUGUUUAAGGGUUUCAACGUAGUUUCAAGUCCGUUGAGUUAGUCGGGCCUUAAAAGGUGAAUGAAAAUUGUACUUGAUAGGAAUUCAACUAUUUGAUACUUUUUAUAUGUAGUAAAUUAACUAUGAAAGAAAAAUAAUAAAGUACUUUUAUUAGAUAUUUAGGUAAUAAAAUACAAUUUUUAUUUUUCCAAGAAAAAAUUAUAAAUAAAUAAAACCGUACUUAAACCGACACAGGUAAACCUAUUGAGAAAAUUAAAGUGAAUGAAAGAAUUAUAUUGAAGGAAUUCAGCAAAUUAACUCUGUACGCUUGCAAUAAAGAGGACCUUGAAAGAAGGUAGCAUAAAAUAAGAAGCAACGACUGGUUAACAAAACCAUAGGGCUCUGCAAAUUGAUAAAAAGUAUAGGGCCUGAUGCCUGCCCAGUGCUUAAUAAUGAUAAAUUUAAGUUUAAGCUUAAAUUUUAAGUCUAAGUAAACGGCGGUUCUAACUAUAAGAAUCCUUAGGUAGCGAAAUUCCUUGGCGGGUAAAUUCCGUCCUGCAUGAAUGGCGUCACGAUUGCUUUACUGUCUCCAAUAUAAAUUCAGCGAAAUUACAAAACUCAUGAAAAUGUGAGUUACUUACAGUAAGACGGAAAGACCCUAGAUCCUUUACUCUAUUUUUAUAUUGUAAAAACUAUUUAUUAAACAGGAUAAGUGGAAGUAGUUAGUUACGAGACUGAGAUACCACUUAAUAUCUUAGUGUUUUACUAAUUUACAAACUAAAAUAUGUAAAGACCGUAUAAAAUGGAGAGUUUACUUGGGACGAGUACCUCCUAAAAAGUAACGGAGGUGUACUAAUGGUAAAUAACAAUUACUUUAUUACAAAGUAGUGAAGAGCAUAAUAGCAUGAGUUUGCUUGACAAUUAGAUUUAUAGAUCAAAUUGAGGCGUAAGCCAGUUAUAGUGACCCGAUAUUUAAGUGUGGAAUUAAUAUCGUGCAACAGAUAAAAGGAACUCUAGGGAUAACAGAUUCAUCGUGACCAAAAGUUCGUAUUGACGUCACGGUUUGAUACCUCGAUGUCGACUCAUCUUAUCCUGAAGUUGUAGCAGAUUUCAAGGGUCUAGUUGUUCGCUAGUUAAAAAGGUACGUGAGUUGGGUUCAGAACGUCGUGAGACAGUUCGGUCCCUAUCUACUGUAGGUAAGUGAAAAAUACAAAGAUUAUUUCUAGUACGAGAGGAUCGAAAUAUGUUAACCUCUGGUGCAUUGGUUGUUAAAAACCUUUAGCAUUGCCGGGUAGCUACGUUAAUUGAGCGUAAGUACUGACAGAAUCAAAAGUACAAAAGCAUCUUUACUAAUUUUUCGAGAAUAAUCUAAAAGACUAUUAGAUAGAUCGGUUCAUAAAAAGUAUUUAGUAAUAAAUUUUUGAUGAAUACGAAUUAUUCAAUAAGAUU